UGACAGAUGGGAAUUUCAGCCUACCGCACAUCAAUCACAAUAUGGCGGCGAUUGUUUGUAAACAUCACAAAAAUUAGCUAGCUGAAAACAGUGAGAAAAGCGGAAUCCAAGCAAAAAUAAAUUAAAAGUUUUCCGAUUACUAUUGAUCGCGCUAAAAUUGUCUAUUUCGAAUAAUUGGCAAAAGAUGCAAGCAUCUGAGGGAAGACGCAUCCGAGUUGGAACUUUUUGGUUCGCUGCCCCAUCGACUACUGCUCCGCCGGCGUUUUCCUCGACCGCAUCAUUUCCGCGGAAUCGUACUGGAGGCACCUAAAUUGCAUGGCACAGUCUGAGAAGACACGUAGCAAAACGAUGGUCAAACUAAAACGUUUCUGGGACGAUGCCCACCUUCUUCAGAAAGAAUCGCUCUCGGUGACUGCAUUUAUCUAAACCCUUAUGAACUGACGGAUCUGGUCGACGCGAUGCCGAAUUUUCCAGUGUCCGGAUUAUGGAUGACUCGGUCGUCAAAUUCCUUUUAGACACGGCUGCCACGCUUUGGAGCAAAUGUGCCAGCACCAGCUGGGUUCCAAAACUAGUUCCAAUAUUAGUCGAAAUAAAUUUGGUCGUUUCCUUUUGCCCUGUU